GUCACACCUGGAGGGGAGACAGAGGGUGGGGUGAGGAAAGGGACAGGGGGAUAUCCCCAUCCCUGUUGGUCACAGUGAACACCAGAGUUGGCUUCACUGCUGCUCUCAGCUCCCAUCCAGCCCAGGGAUGUGCUCAGUGCCCAUGUUCUCCAACAAGUCCUCAUCCUUGAGCAUCAUCCCCAUUCCCAAUCUGUAGACAUUCCCCAUGGCCAUGAUGGUACCCUACAGCCUACAAAAGCUUUCUCCUCUGCAUCCUUCCUGGAGGGGUCUCUUGGGGCAUCACUGCCCUGUGCCCCUUCCUUGGCCUUGCAGGAGGCCACUGAACACAGAAGGUGAUGAGAACAGGAGGUUACAACACUAACUGCUGACUCCCUUGACCCUGAGGCUCCGGGCUCUCCUGUUUCACCUCUCAAGAUUCACUUGGCCAUGUAAAUCAAUCCCCUUCUGAAGCCCUCCAAGCUGCCCCCGCACCGCUGCCCUCCCCAUCCCCAAGGUGCUUGGGGCUAUGUUUAUUUUAUUUUUAACACAGGAAGCUGGGAUUAGUGCCUGCCCUGCAGGACACAGCUGCUCUCCCUGCACCGUGAGCUUCACAGCGGUUCCCCCAUAGGCCACGAUGCCAGUUUCCCACCUCCUCUAUAGAAAAGGUGUUGAGGGAUCAAGUGCAACCCCUCUGCUAGCCCUGCUCCUUGGGAAGGGGAAUCACUGGCACAUCUGCCUUUAGAUUAGAGGUGGAAAGUGAUAGUGGAGCUGUGUACACACCCUGUGCCAGCAAAACUUUCUGCUGUGGCCUCCCAGCAUCUUUGGUGGCUUCCAGCUUCCCUGGGUGUCCCACAAGAGCCUGAGGAUCCACUCAGGUCUACUCAGGUGCCUCACUUUUGGGACAGAGGGGAAAGAAGAGCCCUGAGACCCCAACGAAGUGCUCCAAAGGACAAAGCAACGCACCCUAAAGGAAAGGGACAGAGCACUGCGAUGGUACAGGGCUGAGAACAGCUUCCCAAAGCCAUUCUUCACUGUGGACAGCAUCUUUCUACACCAACCUCCCCACACCUGAGCUACACCCCAAGUGUGCAAAUGUGCCCAAACCAGCACAUAUAGGCAAUGGCAAGGGUGCAGGGGCAGAGCUGCUCCGGGUUGGCUGUCAGCGUGCACAGCUCCCAUUAACCUGGGCUCUUGGCUUGCAUUAUUCUGAAUUAUUGAUAGACACCAUUAGAGCAGGGAAGUGGCCAGGAAAGGCAUACGGCUGAGUGGGCACAUUUGCAGUGGCAGCAAGGUAUCCGAGCUGAGCAAUUACAGCUGAGAUUCAAACAGGGCCCCCUCCCUCCUGCAGCAAUGGAGGCUGGCGAAGGAGAUAAAUAAAUCAUGAGGCAGAAAUCAGGAAGAAGAAAAGGGGGAGUGGGAGGGGGGGCUGGUUGGCAAGGGGUAGAGGGAAGGAAGAAGGGAAAUGAUAAUUAAAAAAGCAAGUGGCCAUUUGGUCUGAUGGAGGGAACAUCGCCUCCAGGCUUUGGCAGGGGCGGUGCUUUGAUAGUAGGAAAUUUCUUGUGAAAUGGUUUGAGCAGUGAGUUGAGAAGACAGUGAGUCGGGAAGAAGGCCAAGGCAAAGCCUCAGAGGCAGCCCAGGGUGGAGGUGGGGAUGUCAUGGCCAAGGGCUGCACCCUAAUUCCUUUCUGCUGGCUCUGCUUGGCAAUUGGGGCACUGUGUGGGAAGGCAAUGCUCAUACAGCACACAGGGGGUCCCAUGGAGAAGGGUGGGAGCAGCUCCACGAAAGAUCCUGUCCCCAUCCCGGUAGAGGCUGGCUAUGGGAUUUCCAAGCUUCCUCUCCCCCUAGAAAUUCCAUCCUCAGCUUAGAGGAAAGCUGGGAACCCUCCUGCAUCACCUGCACCCCAGUGCUCACCCAGCAUAAGCAUCAGCAUCCCCCCAAUCAUAGCACCUAGCAGAUAAGGGGAUUAGUUCCUGCUGGCAUUAACAAUCCAUGACCACAGCUGGGUCAGGUCUGAGGGUAUAAAGCAGGUGAGUUUGCAGAGGAAUUAUCCCCAUCUGUGGCUCUUUAAGAUGAAUGCUUAUUUAUUUUCCCUCUUGGUGCAAUGAGGGAGCUGGGUCAUCUCCUUGGUGCUGCUUUCCAUCAGAGUGGCAGGGCUCACAGACGGUCUGGUUGACCCCACAGGGCUGCACCACGCCCUCACCCAGGUUGCAGGCUUUGCAGCAUUCACCGCUCGUCGUGUACAUCUUGGUCAAGCACUUUUCCUUGGAGCCCCAGGAGCUGUUCCCUCUACUGAUGCUGUGCUGUUCUGAGCAACUCAGCCCUCCGUUGCUUGCAAAAAGCUGCCAGCCCCAGUGAAGGGUUCAGAGGGCUGAGGUCCCAAUUCUGCACUGGGAUCAGAAAUCAGACCCCUCAGUGGAAAUGAAGACUUUGACAGGAGCACAGAGAGCUUCAGCUGUCUGACAGGAGGGGUGGCCUUGGAGGAAGAUGUGCGCAGCUCAGCACCAUCAUCACCCAAACACUGGCACGGAAAGCUGAGCUGCUCUGAAACGGGGAACGGCAGCAAUGCUUCAGCUGGAGACGGGCCCAGCGGCAAGCCUGGAUCCGAACGGCCCGCAAGGCUGACAGACGGGUUCUGUGUAUUUUGGCGGAGCAACCUGUCUAGAAAAGGCUGAAGAUCCGCAUCCCAGCACUCCCCAAACUUUGGGCAGUGGGAGAGUCACGUCUGAGCCGUGUGGGUCCCACAGGGCUCUGCCUCCUCCCCUGACCCAGCUCUAGUCUGAGCAGUGCAGGUAAGGAGCUGUGGCAAUGGGGUGCUGGGGAUACAGCCCACAGCUGCGAGUGCACAUUUGGACCUGCCCCGCUUGGGGCUCAGAGGAACAGCAGGUUUCCAACUACCCCAGAUCUCUAUGGGGCUGGAUGGGCUUGGCAGGUGCAACCCUAAGGGCAGCCCAGACCUGUGGGGUUAGCUGUGGGAAAUGGGGGACACCAAACCCAACUUGGAGCCAUGAGCCACCCACACCAUUCUCCCCCUCAGUCUCUACAUGAGCCUGCUGAAGCAGCAGCUUUAAUGCCCUACCCUACAGCGUCCUGCUGCCCACUGAGCCCUCUGGGACCCCACACAUCCUCCAGCAGCAAAAGCCCCAUUUCUGCCCCAGGUGGCUCAGUGCGUCCCCUUAUCCCCUUUUCUGGGACUCUCCUUCUUCCCUGGUUUCCCUUGCUCUGAAGUUUUGUCUCCAGCGCAGGCUGAGGCUGUGCCCAUCCCUGGGGCUUUGCCCUUCGUGCUGGGCAGUGAGUUUGGAGCCAGGAAGGGAAGGUCUGUGGGAGUCUUUGAAGGUGUGGGGUUCAGGAGGUGGGGGCACAGAGGUGGGGCUGCUUUAUUCCCAUAACCUCCUAUGGAGAAAAGGGAAGGCAGAGCUCAGCUCGGUGUCAGCGGAACAUGAGGGGCUGAGCGAGAAAUCCCUACGGUGUUCCCCCCACCACUCACAUCACCACUCCUCUCCCUAUGCACCCAAACCUUCUGGGACCCUCCAUCCCCAUACAAUUGACACUCCCACUCCCGAUACCCCCGGGACCCUCCGAGCAGAACCCCACAGUCCCAUGGUACCCCUCCAUCCCAGCAGGACCGGGACAGUCCGUGCUGUCCAUGCCCAUUCCCCUCUGUGUCCGGACCCCCCCCGGCUUAGCCCUCAGCCCCUCACUCACCGUCGGCAGCAGGAGCAGCAGCAGCGGUACGAACCCGGCCAUGGUGCUCCGGGGCCACCUCGCAUCCCCCGGGCUGCCCUCCCUCUGCCGCCCGCCGUCUCGGCAGCACCAGAAAAGGGCUGCAAGUCCCUCCUCCUCCUCCUCUCCGCCCCCGGAGCAUCACGGCGAGCAGCCGAGCCAGCACCCUCCUCUGUCGGCACACAAAGCCCGGACCCCUCCCCAGCACCCACCGCCCACCCACGAAACGUUUUCGGGUGUGUUUGGUCUCAAUCCAGCCGACCCCUCCACCCUCCAAUGAUUCUCGUCCGUCUGUCCCCACACACUCUUCCCUGUCGUCUGUCUGUCUGCCUGUCCGUCUCUCACACACCCACGUCCAUCCAUCUCCGCACACCUCGCUCCAGCCCUUCACCAGCACGGUCCUCAUGAUGGGUGAGCAAAUGGGUUCGUUAAUUAUAAGAACAGAGCGAGGCUCCAGGCUGUAGCUGGGAUGGGGUGACCAGAUCCCCUCUGGCUGCACAGCCAAGAGACAGCAUCCCACAGGUAACAUCCCCAGGACUCAAACUCAAACUCAGCAUUGUCACAGCAAUCCCGGUGACAAAGAGAAUUUCCCUUUGUCACCGCAGGAGAGGCUGCAGUGCACAAAGCCACCUGCUCCUGUUUGUAUUUCCACCCGCAGGUGUAAAAUAGCACAUUGACAUCCUUCCUGUCCUACAGCCCCAACGUGUGCUGCUCCCCAGUGCUUCCACUCCAUCACAGAGCUGCUCUGUCCCCAUCCUGCCCAGCCCCAGCCCCGUGGUUGUGAACUCAAGCUGCGUGUCAGGGAGCGGAGCUGGAAAUGUCAUGGCCUUUCCCCAGCUCAGUUUGGCUCCUGCCUUGGUGUGUCAGCACCAAAAACGCUCUUUGUGAGGUUUGUUGGAAAAAAUAUGCAGCGAGUUUUGUGUGGCUUUGGUGAGAAGGUUUGCUGGAGGCUGCCCAGAAAUGCUGGCGCCGGGGUUGGGAGGGAUGAAGGAUUCCUUCGCCCCCUGCUUACGUCACUCUGCCCCCAGUGCUUUCACCUAGCAUAGGAUGGAGCAGUGGUGUCUGUGGGUCUGUCUCUGUCACCCUGCUGCUGUCCAUCUCUCAGCUUUACUGUGUUGGGAUCACGAUGUUGUCCUGUUGGCAGACACAAGCUGGAUUCCUUCCUGAGCAGCGAGCUCCUAACCUUAAUGACUCUAUGAGUAUAUGAUCUGUGAUGCUUGUAUGGCUGGCAGCUCCUGUGGGCGGCUUUGAGGAAAGUCCCUCUUUAAAUAAGAUUAACCCAAAGCCAAAGCUGCUGUUUGUUCUCCAAUGAGGCAGCGUGGGAACACAUGUGAGCCACAUGGUGAUGGGUUCAGGGCCAGGUGGGGACAGGGCAGCGUGCACAGAGACUGGAUGUGGGGAUGGGAUGGGAUGGGAUGGGAUGGGAUGGGAUGGGAUGGGAUGGGAUGGCUGCCACCCACCAUGAGCCAAUCAUCCCUCACCCUUUUCAGUGCUUGGAUGAUUGGCAAUGGGGCAAAGCUGCUUGUGGACAUCUGGCAGAGCUGGACACAGCUGAGGGAGCAGCUUGGGUCUUAUGACACCAAUUGCCUUUGCUGGUCUGCUGCAAUGAGCAAGGAGGGGGGGGAAGCUGAGCUGCUGCCAUGGGCCCAUUUCAUCCAUCCCUCCACCCCAGGAUGUGGCCUUUCCCUGUGGGAUGCACCUCCAGGCUGCAACACUCCCCUGGAGAAGGAUGUGAAAGAGCAACUCCCCCAAGCCCCAGUGCAGAGCUCGGGUGUUUUAUGAUGCUCUGACACCACCACGAGUGUCACCCCAAGAACAACCUCACCGCAGUGACGCAAAGCAGAGACGGACGGACAGAGACGGCCGCUCAGAUGGGCUGCAUCUGCACGGGGCUGGGCAGGCAGCCAGCACAAGCUCACCCAGGUCUGUUCCCAUGCGCUUUGCAAGGACCAAAGAUCUCCAAGGGAUGUUUUCCCACCCUCCCACCGCUCCACAAGGACUCCUGAAAAUAGCACAAACUUAUAAGUUCAGUGCAAAUUCCUGCCUUCAAACUUGUGUAUUAAAAAGCAUUGGUAAUUACUCGCCUGACAAAGACAGCAACACAGCAAUGCCAUGUUAUAAAUAAUGAUGUAUAAAUAAUAUACAUUUGGAAAAUAACACUGUGAUACCCCAGAGUUGAGAGAGUGAAUAAAGGGCUGCAGAGAAAAGCACUGAUGGGAUGCGGUGCUGCAGUGUUAUGGGGUGGGCUUCCAGGGCUGGGAAUAGGGCUGGGGUCUGUGCUGUGCUGUGUACCAUGAUGAGGACUAAAGACAUCUCUGGAGAGAAGGAAGGGAGAAGGGAUGAGCAGAAGCUGAGGGCUCCCUCUGAUUCUCCAUUCAGUCAAUGGGAUUUGGGCAUGUGAAAGCUUUUAGGGCUCAAGCACAGCGGGUUGCUCACUCCCAUCCCCUGCUCGGUGCUGCUGCAGCUCCAAACCCAUCUGCUCUGCACCAAGGGGGUGGUUGGGAGUGAUGGGGUGAACAGAUCCAUCCCCAGCUGUGGUUUAGGGACUGCUGAUCAUUGCCCUUGGUGAGGUGCAGGAGCACUGGGUGGCUGCAGGCUUGGGCAGCAGCAUUUUACCAUUCAGGGGAAAACUGCUCUCCUGAUUUAGAAAGCCAGGGAGGGACUGUCCACAAUACCUCCCCCUUUCUCCUUACUUGGGGGUUACACGCAGGCUGCAGAAUGUAUGGGGUGCUGUAAAGCCCAGAGCCUGUGCUGGGCAGGCAGUUAUUCCCAUUGAAUGGGACUCAGGUGGUGAUUUUGGGGUUGACUUCACCUAUUCAGCCAUUCCCACUCAGGCUGGGGGUAAAAGAUCUCUUUGUAGUGCUGCACCCAUUGGUGUUGUGGUACGGAUGGGAACCACACAGAGAUCAGUGCUGGGGGUGGUGCACAACAGUGA